ensembl:lncRNA
AACAUAAGGCAACUAGGGAUACAAGCAUCACAGAGUCACCACGUGACAGUAGGGCAAGGGGAACUUGGCUUCAAAAUCUAAGAAGAUAUAUUUAGAUGAGAUAUUAGGAAGAAAUUUUUCCUUGUGAGGAUGAUGAGGUUCUGGCACAGGCUGUCCAGAGAAGUUGUGGCUGUCCCAUCCCUGGAAGUGUCCAAGGCCAGGUUGGAUGGGGCCUGGAGGAAUCUGAUCUGGUGGAAGGAGUCCCUGGCCAUGGAGGGUUGGAACUCCUCAGUCUCUGAGGUCCCUUCCAACCAUUCUAGGGUUCCAUGGAAUGCUGCACACUCACAGCUCCAACUUGGUGCUUUGCAUCUUGGCAUUUCAGAGGCAUGGAGGAAAUCAUCCCAAGCAAUUCAUUCAGACAACAGGCUCAUUCACAGGAGCUGUGCCACGCAUUGAGAUCCUUCAGCAGGGUCUGAAAAGGACAACAGAACGUCGUAAAAAAAUAGGAUGGAUUGAGUGCGUUCCACCCUGAAAGGCAGGAAAAAGCCUUCACAGCAUGUCUGAAAUUCAGCACCAUUUGAAGACAUCUAUUGGAAAAGCUUGUGUGAAAUCCUAUCAAUGUUUAAGAUUAUUGGGAGGUGGGAGAGAGGAGUUUUGGGCAUGUCUGAUGAUUCCAUAAACCUAUGGCAGUGUGACAAAAGAGGGGAUCAGCCACCAGGAUUAGUGUGGGGGUGACAGAAGGAAGGCAAAAUUAAAUGCAGAAAAAGGUCAAGUUUGAGGAUCUAAUACAACUCCCUCAGUGGAAAUGGUAAGAUCUGCAUGAAGCAAUUAAAGAAUUCAAGCAACUCUAGUUAUAAAAUACCUCAUCACUUAUCCACCCCUUCCCUUUAUUGCAAAAAAAACUUGGUUGAAUGAAUGUUUAUCAUGAAAAAAUUUCUCAGAAGAUAAAAGAAAUUACCCUAAACUUAGUUCUAACAAGAGCACAGAGAUGGGUAAAUGAUCAUCCUUAUAACUAUUACUAUGUGUAACCAGUGUUUGUAACUAAAAUUCCAAGACAAGUCAACAUAUUUGAAUUCAUUCUGACACCCUGGGAGAAGAGGCAAACCCCCAGCUCUGUUCAACUCCCUCUUUUAAGUAGUUUAAAUGUUCAGCUCAAACUCUCUGCACUUCCUCUGUAGGAUCUUAUAUAAAACUGAUGGCUAAUAGACUGUCUGUCCUGUUUAAAGGGAAAAAUAAUUAAGAAUUUGGCUUGAAAUUUAUUUAUCUGAGUGUGACCAAUACCUUUCAAUUUUACUACAGAAAGUCAAGGUCUUUUGGACUUUUGACCAUCAAUGAACAGCAAAUGCUGUGGUUGAGGAAAAUUUCCCUGGUUAGGAAAAAAAACCAGUAUAUGGUUUGAAAAACAAAUGUAUGGGCAGAUAAUGCUCAGGUAUGAAUAUUAUCCUCAGAGCAAUGAUAGCUAAAAUGUCAAAUUCCAGGUGAGUUUCCAUUGCACCAAUGGAGGACAAUAUGUGGAAUCCGUGUGAAUUAAAUAACUGUAUUCUGGAGAACAAUGUUCUCACUAAGGAAAUGCAGUAAAAAGUUGAAACUUCACAGAACCUGUAACAAUAGGAAUAAAGCACAAAUAUUAAGUAUAUUAAUAAUAACU